GCGGCCGUGGUCUAGCCUGGAAAGACAUCAGCCUUCCACGCUGAGGAUCCCGGGUUCAAAUCCCGGCGGCCGCA
rnacentral:tRNA from 1 species